GCCCGUCGCUACUACCGAUUAAAUUAUUUAGUGAGGUUUCCGGACGUGAUCACUGUGAUGCGUUUUAUGUGUUGCGGAUGUUUCGCAAAAGUUACUCGAAUUUGUUUAUUUAGAGUAAGUAAAAGUUGCAACAA
rfam:Glossina fuscipes fuscipes unplaced genomic scaffold Scaffold124, whole genome shotgun sequence.